rnacentral:lncRNA from 1 species
GAAGAUAAUCAAGGCCCUAGUAAAAUAGGCACCGAACCUUUUCUUUUUCUGUUCCUAGUAUCAGGCAGCCUUCUUGUGGUUGCAUUUGUGAAUGCAGUUGCACGUCUACUGGAAAGGCAUUGCUCGAUUUUUGACUGUAUACAAGCAUCAUUGAUAAACAGAAAAGCUCUUCACAAAAUUUGGAACAAGAAAUUUAAGGGUUCCUAACAUGCACAGACAUUCAAGGGAUCGAGACAAAUCAGGAGCAGGAUUUUUGCUAUGAUCUCAAACCUAGUUAGUAAAGAGGAUAGCUUUUAUGAACAUGGUAAUCAGAAAUUAUAUGCCAGCUUUUCUCGUGCCCCGUGUCACUCAUCUUGCUGUUGCAUAAUAUUUGAAGGUGUCAUGUUUUCAACCUCACAAUGAGCUUUCCGUGGAGAAUUCUACUUCACGUCAUUGUUCGCUGGAAAUUGCUGGACAGUGAUCCUUUAAUGAAGGUUGCAAGGUCCAGUGGUCGUUUUGUGCUGUAGGACCAGUUGUAGUCCACAAUGUACCAAGACAGUGAAAGCCUAGGAAAUUGAAACAGCCAAAAAGAAAAGAAUGCAGCGGUGCUUACCGUUUACUAUGGCAUUGGUCAAUUUGUUUUAACGGCCGCAGGGUAUAAUUGGAAAGAAAACGAAGAAGGAGAUAAAAGCAAGUGGGAUGAGAUAGACCUUUUUUUUUUUUAAGAGAUAGUUACUAUGAAGAGGGGAAGUGUUAAUAAAUUUUUGGGAAGAAAUUGAAGCCAUUAGCAUUUAGAAUUUUUUUUAAAAAUAUUUUUGGGUAUUGGAUGAAUUACUAUUCUUUAGCUUCAAGAUCAUCCAUUGAAGUUGUUGUUUAUUGGUGGUCCGAACUAGUCAAGUGAAUGAUAGAUAGAAGAAGGGUAGUAGAAGGCUGCGGGCUGGAUAUGUUCGGAUAAAGGGGAGAUUUUCUGAUUGGGUGGUCUAUUUUCUGUGGAUGAAUUCGGGUACUAGGUGCAUUUCCGGUAAUAAAUAGCCUUGGCGUUUUUUCUUAUAUAUAUAUAUAUAAUUUUUUUUCUAUUAGUUAAGAAAUCAUUCUUGCUAUAUGCUAAACAACACAAAAUAAGAUUUUUUUUUUUUUAGUUUCAAACAAGAAAGGGGUGGAAAUUAAAAAGCGAGAAAAGGAUUGGGGAUUUGAACUCAUAAUCUCUAAUUUUUAAAAUCUCAACCUUUAAAAGAAAAUUGCUAGAUAGAAAUAAAAAGAUAAAAUACUGACAAGAUAUAAACUAAUAGUUAAGAGUUUUUUUUUCGUAAAAUUAAAGCAUUUGAAACCUUCCUAUUCUCCUUAAAAUAAAUAUCUUAAAUGAAAUGUAUACAUAUCUCCAAAUCAAAGGGAUGCUCAUUUGAAGGACGUUUUUUUUUUUUCCUUAAGUGUCUAUAAUCUAUUCCAUAUAGAAAAAAAAAAAAGAUAUGUGAACUUUCUAGACUACAUCAACACUUGCUAAUAUGUGAACCACCUCUUAUAAUUCUCUAGAACUCAACUCUAUUAAGCAGAAAAAAAAAAAUCUAGUAAGCAGAAGAAUUUUCAAAGUUGGUUUUAACCUUAUAAAUGACUUUCUUGAAGAGAACUUCCAUGCAUAUUAUUCAGAAUAAGUCAGAAAAAUUCUAAAUUCUCGUCAAAUUAAAAGGAAGGGAAUAUUUUGACGACUAAACAAUUUUGUACUUUUAAAAAGGAAAAAUUAAACAUAAUGCCCUCUAAUUUUGCAUUUUGCUACAUAACUCCCUUAAAAUUUUAAAAUAUCCACAUAGCCCCUAUAAUUUCAUGUAAAGUGAAUGAUAGAUGGAAACCAUCACUGAAUAAGGUGAUUGAACCAAACGCACUCCAAAAAUAUAUGCGAGGGAGUCAUAAUAUCUACUUAGCUCUCCUAUGAUUUGCAUAAAUAUUCACAUUACUCCCUUAUAAUUUUUGCAUAUAUCUACAUUAUUUUCAUAUAGUUUUAUACAAAGUAGUUAGGCCAUUAUUCAAUUUAGUACUUAAGUAAGUGCAAUACCGACAUUUAAACUAAUGACAUUGCGGAUGUUAUUUUCCCUCAUAUUUUCACUUUACAUGAAACUAUAGUGGAGUUAUGUGGAUAUUUUGAACUAUCAUGUAGGUCAUGUGGUUAUGCAUGACCACAGGGGGUCAUAUGUAGUUUAGCCCAAUAACAUAUGAAAAAUAAAAGAACACAUAGUAUUAAUGAAAAGGGAAAAAAUUGAUUGUACGAGAUGGGUAGAUUGUCCUCAAAUUGUAACCCAUUUUCAUUUUUAUGAAUAACAUGAUACUAGUGCUUUGAACUACUUUAUAAAUGAUAGAUGUGUUAUCUUAUCUGAUUGUAAUUAGUAUGAAACUUAAUCACUAUAAAUGAUGUCACAAGGUGAGCUGCUGCAUUAGUUUCACUAUCUAUAGUUGCAAUAACAUUAACACCCUUACUUGAAAGAAAAAAUUAACAACAUCCUUAAUUAGUUACUUAUUCCUGCUUCUCCAUUUUGAGCCUACUUCCAGGAAAGGUAGAGCCUUCUGGAUUGAUCUUUGCCAAUGAGAAAGUUAAGCUUGAACUGGUCUAGCGAAUAUGGUUGAACACACAGAACUUGGUGAUGGGGAUCGAGUUUACAUAUGUGAUAUGACUACUUUGGAUGGUAUUAUAUUCCUAUGAAACGAGUCCUAAGUUUUGGCAUUCAAAACAUAAACGACGGUUUGACUCAAAUUAGUUGAAAUAGAAGUCCUGUUAGACUCAUUUAUUUUUCUCUAUUUAAAUUACCGCAUUUUUAUUACCCAAAAAAAAAUCCCUUUUAUAUAUAUAAUCAUGUAACAAGAGCACAAAUGCAGACUCAAGUAAUUUGUGAUUCUGAAUUGUGAAAGCAUUUUUUUUAGUCUCAAGAGAAGGGAGAAAGAAAAAAAAUUUAAACAAAAAAUUUCAUGAUCACUUGACUGAUAUAUUCUUUCCUGCUGAAUUAAGUCUUAGGUUAAUCUGUAUCAGUUUUUCAAGCAUUUCAUUUAAACUUGAAAUAUCUGUUUAAUCAUUACAAAAUUUCCAUGAAGUUUCCUAAUUGAGCUCAAGGAGGAGGUGUCAUCAUCAAAGCAGUUGUACUCUCUUUUUAAAGUUAUUUUUAAUCUGUUCAGCUCAAUCGUGCCAAUAAUAGAUUCUGUCAUGCUUAGGGUUUAGAAAAAUGAUCAACCACAUCACUCAUGCCAAGUAAAUUGAUCGUUGGCCGCCUGUUGUCCAUGACUGAGUAUUCGGUGCCUGUGGUCAGUCUCCUCGUUGUUCAAAGAUGGUUUCUCAUAUUCAAGAUUCAGAAUGUCAAGUAAAUAACCGAUAUCGCUGCUCAGCGCAAGCAGCUCCUGCUGAACCAACUCCUAAUAGAGGAAUUGGCCACCACAUUAAUCAUGGGGUGGAAGAUCAAGGGUUCAAACUUUGUCUCCCAUCAACAUGACUCUAUAUGAGAUUUGUUCUAAAAAAUUCACACGAGUGUGUGGUGCAUCCAUCUGGUCUGAUGAUGGUUCAACCUCCGUCUGGUCUGAUAGUGGUUCAAUCCCCAUCAGGUUCCCUCCGACUCAGUUGAGCCACCUCUUAGAGUAGGUUUCCCCCUUCCUCCCAAGUAGGAAUAGUAGUAGAUUAGACAAAACUAGAUGUGGCGUUGCAUAAAAAAAAAAAAAAAAAAGCAGCUGCUGCUGGUUACAAAAUUCUAAUGAGCCAUUUUGCUUUCUGAAAAUGCUCGUCAUUAUCAUUAUCCACGAUAUGUAUUGUUUAAUUAAUGCCAUGGCUGAAACAGGACUUGCAUAUAUAUACAGUAAGGGUGGUAAUUAAGGGUUGUACAGACAUUAAUUUAAUAACAGCCAUAUCACAGUAUGUCCAACAAUUAUUUCAAAGAAUAGAUUAGGUAAAAGGAAAACAGAAAAAGACGCGUAGAGUACUUUUCUCUGUACCAAUUUUUCUCUAAAGCUUUUAGCGCCUUUGACCCGAUUUUGGUAAUUUCCAAUUCUUCAUGCCUCUCCAACUGUUGUUUUGACCUUGUUUAGCAAAGGAAAUAACAGUAGUUAAGUUAGCUAGCGGAAAUUGCAUCAGAAUUCAGAGCUACCAGAAAGUCCUUAGAGCUCAUCAAAGGAGUAAUUAAGAGGGGUCAUUAUCAGGAAUUUUUCAUUGCUAAAUGUAUUUGAAUAUAUAAGUCAAGAAGGCCAACUCAUUUGAUCGUCAUUUGCCCUUCAUUUCAGUCGGGAAGGUCUGUUCUUCUUCUUUAAUAGCACAAUGAAUCUUCCUGUCAUUCUGUCAUUGUUGGGUAUCUUUCCAUUAAUGGCCAAAUCAGAAGUAAGUGCUCAAGGGCGAAACGUGCAGUAUUGCUCAAUAAACCACCACCACGAAAUUGGGAGCAUAGGAGUGGUCGUUGAUCAGAGUUCUCGUGUAGGUAAGGAGCAAAAAAUAGGCGUGGAGAUGGCAGUCCACGACUUCAAUCGGGAGUCACAUUGUUCAAAGGUGGAUUUGCAUAUUCAAGAUUCACAAGGGAACUCAGCUCGAGCAGCUUCUGCUGGUAAUAUGCUUCCCCAACCAAUAUAGCCAACCAUUUUGAUCACUACAUAAUACACUAUUCUUUUACAAAUUGAUGCUAAAGUGGGGAAAAACUGGCACAUGAGUCGCCCGUUUAUCAGUUUAUGUGGAGCAAACUUUUGCAGGUCAAAAUGUUUCGCGGUUAUCGUUUAUGGUCUUGAGUCUCGAGUCUUGAUAUGUUAGUUCUUUAUUGGAGUAUAAUUUAUACAUGAAUCACAAAACUUAUGUACUCUUAAAGAAUUUUUUUUUCCCUGAGAGGACACAGCACCCAAAAAAUUGUGGGCAAUUUUCCUUACACUUUUACAUAAGAAUUAAACUUUACAGCUAAUAUAUACCUUAACUUCACCUUUUAUCCUGUGCCUUACCUACCAUAUAGGGUAGAAGAACGCAUUUCUUUACAUGUGCGCGCGUGUGCUGGUUUUAUAGUCGUUCAUUUUUCCUUAUUGUAUCUCAGUAACAGAGGUUGUGAACAAGAAACAAGCGCGUGUCAUUAUCGGAUCGCUUACGUUGCAAGAAGCCACUCUGCUAUGGGAACUGGACAAAGUUCCCAAACACAUCCCCAUCAUUUCCACGGCUCAAAUGUCUACCUCUCUUCCACUGUUACCGUCUGAUCGAUCUUUACCUUUCAUCGGGAUGAGCACCGACAUUAAUAUCCAGAUGCAAUGCAUUGCGGCUAUAGUUGGCCAUUUCCGGUGGAGAAAGGUGAUAGCAAUUUACGAGCAUAGCAACAGCUUUUCUGCGGAUACUGGGCUUGUCACGCACCUCUCCGACUCGCUCCGAGCCAUUGAGUCUGUUGUCGAACAUCACAUGGCAUUCCAUCCGGUGGGUUCAGAGCCAAACCCUAAAGAAUUCAUCGAAGAACAGUUAAGGAAGCUGAAGGGCAAGAGCGUUAAAGUCUUUACAGUGCUGCAGUCCUCUUUGGAAUUUGCUAUGGUUCUUUUCGAGAAGGCUAAAGAAUUGGGCAUGCUGGACAGGGGUUAUGUAUGGAUCGUUUCAGAUGAUGUUGCAAGCCUUCUUGACUCUGUUAAGUCGUCCUUUAUACUCGAGUAUAUGCAAGGCAUAAUUGGAUUAAAGACAACUUAUUCUGAAACUAGCCAUUCGUUCCAAGCAUUCGAGCGACGGUUUAGAAGAAAGUAUAGAUCAGAAUAUCCUGAAGAAGAAAAAUUUUCCAGUCCAAGCAUAUACGCUCUUCGAGCUUAUGAUUCAACAUUGGCCGUCGCCAUGGCAUUACAAAAUGUGAAAGGAAAGGUAAAUUCCAGUGGCUUAGUGGAUUCGAUUUUGUCCUGUAAUUUUGAUGGUCUUGCUGGAAAAAUAAGCUUCAAGAAUGGUGCGUUAUUGCAAAAUCCCGUGUAUCAGGUAGUAAAUGUGAUAGGAAAAAGCUAUAGGCCAGUAGCAUUAUGGUCACCGGAAUUUGGCUUUUCAAAGGCCCCGAUUGAACACGAUGGCAUGGUAACGAAUUCUGGCAAUGGCUUACGGGAAGAUUUGGGUCAAAUUUACUGGCCAGGUGCUGAGCUGAAAGUCCCAAAGGGAUGGACAUUGGGAGAGAGUGGAAAACCCUUGAGGAUAGGAGUCCCCGCCAAUGGUGCUUUUCAUUAUUUUGUCAAUGUUACUUUUGAGCAAAGCCGAAAUGAAACUGCUAUUACCGGGUUUUCGAUCCAAGUAUUUGAAGCUGCAGUCAGCCACCUACCUUACCACCUGCCCCAUGUUUUAGUCCCCCAUUAUGGAUCGUAUGACCAAUUGGUGUCUGAAGUUCACAACAAGGUACCAUAUAUUCUAACAUGUUUGUUCAUCGUUAAUUUCUGGAUUAAAUUUCAGGAAUGUUAAAGAUCAGAAUUAAAUAUAUUACUCUAGUAUUCCUAAAGGGAGUAAAAAUAUGUUCAACUUUACUAAUUAUAUUGGUAGAUUGGAGUUUAUAAUGAAAAUGUAGAACAUAAGUAAUUACUAUGCCAUAAUUUUGAGUAUAGCUAUCUCAAGAAAAAAAGUGGCAUGCUCUUUUAAAUGUUUGAUUUACUUGUUAGUUUCUCGAGGUCCUUACCAUUUGCCAAUAGUUUUAAGCAGAUCAUUCAUAAAUACAUCAAUUAUAGAAGACGAAGAUAAAAGAAAAAGAUCCAAUCAAUAACGAUGUUAAUUCUUGCUAUUCCCAAUAAUCAUUUUCCCUGGAAAAGUUACUAAUAAUGAUCGAUUUCAAUGAUAAAGAACUUAGAUGCAGCGGUGGGUGAUAUCGGGAUAGUGGUGGACCGCUACAAGAUUGCCGAUUUUACACAGCCCUACCUGGAAACUGGAGUUGUCAUGGUAGUCACUGUAAAACCAGACGUCACAAAGACAAGGCUUAUGGUUUUAAAAGCAUUUGCAUUGAAAAUGUGGAUACUCUUAGCAGCCUUGAGCGUGUUUACUGGUGCUGUCAUUUGGUUAAAUGAACAUGCAAAUAACAAUCCAGAAUUCAGAGGUCCAUUCCCUCAAAACAUCGGGGCCAUGCUUUGGUUUUCUGUUACCAUUCUAUCAUUUGCUCAGAGUAAGUUUCACUGAUUACACACCAAUCAAACAAGGCUUUUUAAUGAAAGAGGACCUUGUAAUCUAAGGAUAUAUAGUAACAAAUUUUUGACGCCAAAUUAUCCCUUUACAGGAGAAUCUAUCAGAAGCAAUUUGUCACGGCUGGUGCUAGCGACAUGGUUGUUUGUGACAGUAGUUGUGACGACAUGUUUUACUGCAGCUGUUACUUCAUGGAUGACUGUUCCAAAGAUUGAACCAUCUAUAGUGGAUAUCGAUUAUCUAUUAGGGACAGAUGCACCUGUUGGAUGCAAUAACAAUUCCUACAUCGGUCGUUUCUUAACAAAUGUUUUGCAUUUCAAGCCUGAAAACGUCAGGCGAAUUGGCUCCAUUAGCGAUUACCCUGAAGCUUUCCAGAGGGGAACCAUCAAAGCAGCUUUCUUGGCAGCCCCACAUGCCAAAGUCUUCCUUGCGAAGUAUUGCAAAGGCUAUACCGAAGCAGGGUCCAAAUUCAAACUUGGUAGCUUUGGAUUUGUAAGAUUAGUAUUAAGAUCCAGAUUCCGGUCAAAUUCGUUGUGUUUUAACAUACUUAUUCCUAUAUUAACUUAUCUUAUCUGGGCUCAUAACGAUAGUGGUUUUUUUUUUGUGGUCUCAGGUCUUCCAAAAGGGUUCUCCUUUGGCUGAUGAUAUUUCGGGGGCUAUUCUAAAGAUAACAUUGACAGGAACGAUCGAUCAAAUGGAAAAACGCAUGCUUUCAUCUCUAAACUGCUCUUCAUCAGCGGGGGAAGAUAAUCAAGGCCCUAGUAAAAUAGGCACCGAACCUUUCUUUUUUCUUUUCCUAGUAUCAGGCAGCCUUCUUGUGGUUGCAUUUGUGAAUGCAGUUGCACGUCUACUGGAAAGGCAUUGCUCGAUUUUUGACUGUAUACAAGCAUCAUUGAUAAACAGAAGAGCGGGUAGAUGGGCAUUAUUGCUUCUUACUAGAUGCUUCACAAAAUUUGGAACAAGAAAUUUAAGGGUUCCUAUCAUGCACAGACAUUCAAGAAUUUGAGACAAAUCUGGAGCCUG